rnacentral:rRNA from 1 species
CAAAAAAUUAUCAAGAGCAUUCGGUGGAUGCCUUGGCUCUCAGAGGCGAUGAAGGACGCGACAAGCUGCGAUAAGCUGCGGGUAGAUGCAAAUAAUCACCAAUCCGCAGGUUUCCGAAUGGGGCAACCCACUAUGUUGAAGACAUAGUAUCUAUUUAUAGAAGCCAACCCGAUGAACUGAAACAUCUAAGUAGUCGGAGGAAAAGAAAACAAAAGUGAUUCUCCUAGUAGUGGCGAGCGAACGGGGAAUAGCC